rnacentral:lncRNA from 1 species
AUGGACCUCACAGGGGAAGGGUGCGGGAGAGAAGGGGGAUUACUCCCGCCCUGGCCCCAGCUCCCACAGAAGCACCUACCUGGUGAAAAAGGAGAGUUCGCCCGCCCUCAGGGUGGCUUCAGGUGGCUGGAGACACUGCUUUACUGUAACAUACCAGAGACAGGCUGAAGGGGCCGGAGCAGGAGCGUCUGCCCAUACCCCCUCCCCUUGGAGGGGUAGGUACCUCCGGAGACGCUGCAGUUGCCAGUCUUGGGGUCGCAGGGACAAUGGUGCUCACACUUACAAGGCCUCUGGCAGCCCGGCCCAUGCCAGCCAAGGGGACACUCUAUGGAAAGGAGAUGGGAGGAGGGAGGAGAGAGGUUGGGGCCUCCAGUGUCAGAGCCUUUCUCGACAGGACAAGAUACCUGCCCUGGCCGAUGUGUACAGAGCCGGGCUAAAGGUGAAGCACCCCCUGCCCUCCCUGGACUAGCCCCUGAACGUGACCUUAUUUGGAAGCAGAAUGUCUACAGAGGCACUUCAGUUAGGAUCUCAAGAUGAGACCGUGCCGGAUUUGAGGUGGGCCCUGGAGUCAGAGCCCGGGGACCCUUGUUUUAGCCAAGCCCUUUGUGGAACGGGCCGCAGCAGCCACAGGGGAAUCACGCAGUGAUGUGCAGGUGAGGCCGGGGCAGAAGACAAGAGGCAAGCAUUUCCCAGACCAGAAGGUGGAGACAGAAGCAGCAGAGGAGCAGUGGGGGCUGCCGGGGCCACCGUCUCCCCAUCCGCUAGUGGCGUGGCAGCUCCUACCUUCACUGCAGUUGGACCCGGUCCAUCCGGCAUCACAGCGGCAGCCGGCUGCCGAGACAAGACCGGGGAGGCCAGGUGAGGGCCUAGGGCAAGGCAGGGCUGGGCAGAGCCCCCUCCCCAGAACCCCCACUCACUCUCCGUGCACAGUCCGUGCUGGCUGCAGUUAGAGGGGCCACAGUCCAGCUCAUCACAGCCGGGACCCCGCCAGAAGUGCCCGGUGCAUUGGCAGUGCCCGUCCACGCAGGUCCCGUGGCCGUGGCAGUCAGGCGGCUGGCAGCGGGGUUCGUGCACACACACCACGGUGGACACUUGGCGGGGACAGCGCCACAUGUUGUCCUGGCUGUAGAGGGAUGUGAUGUGUGAGGAGAGGACACCCCCAGACGGCCCCUCAACUCCCUCCAGGCUGCCCCCAACCACCCCUCUCUCCAUUCUCACCUGUCUACCUACCUACCUACAAGAUGGCGUCUAUCUAUCUAUUUUUGAGAUGAGGUAUUGCGAUCCUUCCACCCGAGCCUCCUGAGCAGCUGUAACCAUAAGGUGUGCACCAUCACGCCUGCCUAAUUUUUUUUUAUUUUUCAUAAAGACGGGGUCUCACUAUGUGCCGAAUCNNNNNNNNNNCGCCACUGUGGUGGAUUCGUCUCACUAUGUUGCCCACACUGGUCUUAAACUCCUGGGCCCAAGCGAACCUCCCACCUCGGCCUCCCAAAGCACUGGGAUUCCAGGCGUGAGCCCCUGUGCCCAGCCCUCUCCAGUCUUUUAUAGGUUCCUCCGCUCCCUACAAUCCCUCCCAGCCCUGGGCCUUUCACAUGUGGUGCCCUCUGCCCGGAAGGCUCUCCCACCCCCACCCAGCUACCACCUCCUUCAGAUCUCAGUUCUUAUUCUGUCAUCCUCGGGGAGGUCUUUGCUGACCAACUGACCCUGCUCCUAGGCCUGGGUAGUACUGGCAUCCUGGGGGAGGGACUGCAGCAAUUUCUGCUCUCUUGAACCCCCGGGGCCUGGCACAUAGCAGGCACUCAAUAUUGGCUGAAUGAGACAGGCUGGGGCAGACCCAGACUUCAGCCCUCACGAAGGCAGCUCUCACGUGCUUACCAGUGAUCUGACGGGUAACUGGCCAAGGUCCCGUUGAGCACAAAGGUGGCAGAGCCACCCCCAUCCAGGUUGAUGGCGUUGACCACGUCCUGUUUCAGCAGGAACUCCGCCAUUUCCCACAGGUUGAUGCUGCGGCACAAAGCGGCGUUGCUCAGGCUCAGCGCCCACCAUCAUUUCUCAUUUAACUCCUUUUCCUUCCACAGUGCACAGCAUCACGCCCACAGUGCAGGCACAUUUCUAAGUGGCCCCCGCCCCCAAGCAUGUCUCAUCCUAGCCCCCGGAAGCUGUGAACACGUGAGAUCACACCCAUGCCUGUGCUGUUACAUGGCAUAGGAAUCCUUAAGGGAGGGGAAACGGCCUGGAGGAUCUGGGUGCGGCCACUGGAAUCACAGGAGCUGUUCAACACAGAGAACCUUCUCUGGCUGGUGACAGAAUAGGAAGUGAGAUUUGAAAUACGAGGGGGAUGAGAGGGUGGCCGGACAACUGGGGGAGAGGACACACAUGGGAAGGAACCUGGGCAGCUUGAAGGAGCUGAGGCCCCAGAUGGCGGCCAGCAGGGAAACCAAGACCUCAGUCACAACUGAGGAGGCGACGUGGAUUCUUUCAACAACCUAAACAAGAGGAUUCUUUCCAGAUAAGAGAAGAGCCCUGCCUAACCAGCAUCUUGGUUUUGUCCAUGGGACACCCUGAACAUAGAACAUUCCAAGUUGACCAGCCUGGCCAACAUGAUGAAACCCUGUGUCUACUAAAAAUACAAAAAUUAGCCAGGUGCGGUGACUCACGCCUGUAAUUCCAGCACUUUGGAAGGCCGAGGUAGAUGGAUCACCUGAGGUCAGGAGUUCGAGACCAGCCUGGCCAACAUGAUGAAACCCCAUCUCUACUAAAAAUAGAAAAAUUAGCCGGGUGUGGUGGCGGGUGCCCGUAAUCCCAGUUACCUGGGAGGCUAAGGUGGGAGGAUCACCUGAACCUGAGAGGUAGAGGUUGCAGUGAGCUGAGAUUGCACCACUGCACUCUGGCCUGGGCGACGGAGUAAGACCCUGUCUCAAAGAAACAAACAAACAAAAGAACAUUCCCUGCUGAGUGUUGCUAAAUUUGUGCUGGUUAUGCAACCAGAGCAAACCAAAACACUCUCUUUACAGGGGCUAGAAAUGCGGCUCAGGGAGGCUGAGGGACUUGUCUACGGCAUAGGGUUCAGGAAAGGUGAGGCCUAAAGCUGAAGAUGAUGAGUUCUUGGAAUCGGCAAAGAUCUCAGGACCCUCAUCCUGUGGGAAGGUGAGGGGGCCCUGGGAGGGGGGACAGAUAGGUGUCAACAUCCCAGAAAGCAGGUAGAGUCAGAGGGUGGCUGUCAUUGGGUCAACGUUCCUCCUAGCAGGACUGAGCCCCGGCCGGGGGGCCUCAGCUCCCAGGACUCACCCACGCUGCUCCGUUUGGCCGUCUGCAUGAAAGAGCACCAGCUGCCCUUUCCGGUCGUGGCCAAUGGCCGUCCUGGCUGAUAUCACAUUCACAAAUUUGCUAAAGGAACCUGAAGGAAAAGCAGCCUGGCUGAUCACCGGCCCCUUGGGAGGCCUCCUGCUUCUUGCCUAACUCCACUUCCCACUGGUCUGAGCUACCUGGUACCUCCCUGGGAAGCACAGCAGCCUCCUUGCUCGUCUCCCUGCCUCCCCUCUGCACAUCCCAGUCUCCCCAGGGCAGCCGGGGGGUCUCUUCUUACAGGUAAACCAAGCUAUGCCAGCCUCCAGGUGAAGACCCUCUAAUGGUUUCCCCUGUUCUUAGAACAAAAUUCAAAGAGCCAGCAUGCCCUCCCCAGCCUCUUCCUCCUCCUGCCUCAGCUCCUGGGUGUCCCCUCACCACCCUGCAGCCACUUUGCACUUCCUGUUCCCUCUGGCUGGGAACUGUGCUUUUCUCUAGCUUGCUCCUUUGUCAGAUCACCUCCUUAGUGAGGCCUUCCUUGACCGCCCACUCUUUUU